ACAUGCAAGUCGAGCGAGCUCUUCGGAGCUAGCGGCGGACGGGUUAGUAACGCGUGGGAACGUGCCCUUCACUGCGGAAUAGCCACUGGAAACGGUGAGUAAUACCGCAUACGCCCUUCGGGGGAAAGAUUUAUCGGUGAAGGAUCGGCCCGCGUUAGAUUAGAUAGUUGGUGGGGUAACGGCCUACCAAGUCUACGAUCUAUAGCUGGUUUUAGAGGAUGAUCAGCAACACUGGGACUGAGACACGGCCCAGACUCCUACGGGAGGCAGCAGUGGGGAAUCUUGGACAAUGGGCGCAAGCCUGAUCCAGCCAUGCCGCGUGAGUGAUGAAGGCCUUAGGGUCGUAAAGCUCUUUCGCCAGAGAUGAUAAUGACAGUAUCUGGUAAAGAAACCCCGGCUAACUCCGUGCCAGCAGCCGCGGUAAUACGGAGGGGGUUAGCGUUGUUCGGAAUUACUGGGCGUAAAGCGCACGUAGGCGGAUCAGAAAGUUGGGGGUGAAAUCCCGGGGCUCAACCCCGGAACUGCCUCCAAAACUCCUGGUCUUGAGUUCGAGAGAGGUGAGUGGAAUUCCGAGUGUAGAGGUGAAAUUCGUAGAUAUUCGGAGGAACACCAGUGGCGAAGGCGGCUCACUGGCUCGAUACUGACGCUGAGGUGCGAAAGUGUGGGGAGCAAACAGGAUUAGAUACCCUGGUAGUCCACACCGUA
rnacentral:rRNA from 1 species